AAAUGCCAGUGCUCGCAUACUACGUUCUGCACGCACUACUUCCAAUGUUCUUCCAUGCCGGCUCCGUUUUCGACGAAAAGGGCGCCUACGAUGAAUGGUGGAGUGUUGAAAACGAAGAGAGCUUUUCGCGGGCCCAGCAGUGCCUCGUUCAGCAGUACCUCGAAUCAAGCAAAUCGGAUGCUUCACAAGAAGAAGCUAAAGCAAUGGCUGCCCAAGUGAUGAACCAAAAUUUUAUACUGGCGCCAUCGUUCGAGGCCUUCAAGCAGAGUCUCGAAGGAUCACGUUAUAGCAUGUCCAACUUCAGCCUGCACCAUAAUUUUCCAGCCGACAGCAAGCACGUGUUCUAUGCAGCGCAUAUGAUGGUAAGACUAAAUUAUUAUUGUGAUUUAUCACUCCUGGCACCGGCUGGUAAUAAGCACUGCGAUUCCGCCCCAUUUAUCUUAUAGGCUCUCUGCGACGAGACUGACAUAGCACAAAAUUCGUUCAUUUAUCGUAUGUUCAACGAAGAGCUCUCCGAUUUCUACAGGCACAACAUGCCCUUCUACAACUUUCCGGAAUACGAAGACCAAGUUUCGGACUGCGAGCCAGCCCAAGCCAAUGAGUUGUCGAACCUUCGACACUGUCGAAUAUGGAACACAUAUUGAGAA